rnacentral:lncRNA from 1 species
UAUGACCCCCAGUGCCCUGAAGCUCUGCACUAGGCCCGGGGAGAUGGGUGACCCAGCCUCGAAAUCUCUCUGGGCACCUCCCAUACUUUUUUCCAGCCUGUCUGUUCUUAUUGCAGGAUCCAGGCUGAGGGUGAGGGGCUGGUGAAUAGGGUACUGGCGCCCCCUGAAGGUCUCCUUUCCCCAUCGUAUGAGAAGAUCCUGAAGCUCACGGCUGAUGCCAAGUUUGGUGAGUACCCCACUGAGUUCACAGGCCCCAGGCUACCCUGGGACUUUGACAUGGUGCCUGGUACAGAGGGGCCCCCACCACUCCCUGCUGCAUCCUUAACUUACCUUCCCUAGUGGAGGAGCAUAAGGGAAAGAAAGACAUUGACAGUCCCACCUUACUGUCCUCUGCCAGCUCCUGGUAUAGCAGUAGCAGUGCCUGUGGCUCCAGGAGGCCUGGGAGCUUUGUGCUGAAGUUAAUAGGGCAACUGGGAGGUGGCUGGGGCCACAGUGACACCCCCUGUCCCACUCACGGGUGCAUCAGAGUCAGGCGAUGUGAAGGCCACAGUGGCAGUGCUGAGUUUCAUCCUCUCCAGCGCGGCCAAGCACAGCGUCGAUGGCGAAUCCUUGGCCAGUGAACUGCAGCAGCUGGGGCUGCCCAAAGAGCAAGUGGCCGGCAUGUGCCGCUGUUAUGAGGAGAAGCAAAGCCCCUUGCAGAAGCACUUGUGGAUCUGCAGCCUACGCAGCAAGUAUGAGGCCAGCCAGGGUCCAGGCUCCUUCUAGAAGGUGCACACAGCACACAAGUGCAUGGAGAGUCCAGGGAGACAACUUAACCAUGGUCACAUACCAAGCAGCUGCCGAGCUGGGACCUGGCCCUGGCUCUCCUGACUCCGCGGGCUGUGGAUUUGUACCUACAGGAUCAGACCUUGCCCUUCCCUCCUGGCUGACCCUUCCCUAGUCCCCUGUGCCUCAUGUGUGAGCACCCAGCUCACUCUUAUUCCUCCCUCUCCGAAGCGUGGUCCCUGGGAGCAUGAGUGGCAGAAGGGGCAGCAGAGACUGUGGACCCCUCAGCUGCACCUAAGACCUCUGUGUGGUCUAGCUUUGUGUGCUGGGGGAGGCUUUUGGCCACCAUUUCCCCCUCUGUAAAUGAGACCGACACCUGUGGCAUGGAGGGCGGGAGGCCGGUGUGAGUGCCAAGCACUUGGAGCAGGGCCCUGAGUGAGCAUGGACUUGGAAAUGGGUGUUCCUUGACUUUAUGCACCUUGGGAAUGGUAGUGGGGCUCCCUGCGUGGGUUGACAAUUCAUUGCAUUCCCCCACUCUGCCUCUGUCCCAGCCCUGCAAGUCCAGUCAUUGGGGGUCCAGGAGGGAAGAAGACCCUGGCUGUGUGACUUCGGGCUGGUGCCUGGCUCUCUCUGGCUCUGAGUUCCUGGGAACGUCAGCACCCAAGGCAUGCCCUCAAGUUUAGCACCUUGACAAGAAAGGCGGGGACACUGGGAUCAGGCCC